CAGACCUCUAAUCGGAAAAGACUACCCGCUGAGUUUAAGCAUAUCAAUAAGCGGGGAGGGGU
rnacentral:rRNA from 1 species